rnacentral:rRNA from 1 species
GACGAACGCUGGCGGCGUGCCUAAUACAUGCAAGUCGAGCGGACUUUCAAGAAGCUUGCUUUUUGAAAGUUAGCGGCGGACGGGUGAGUAACACGUGGGCAACCUGCCUGCAAGACGGGGAUAACUCCGGGAAACCGGGGCUAAUACCGGAUAAUAUCUUUCUUCGCAUGAAGGAAGGUUGAAAGGCGGCGCAAGCUGCCGCUUGCAGAUGGGCCCGCGGCGCAUUAGCUAGUUGGUGAGGUAACGGCUCACCAAGGCGACGAUGCGUAGCCGACCUGAGAGGGUGAUCGGCCACACUGGGACUGAGACACGGCCCAGACUCCUACGGGAGGCAGCAGUAGGGAAUCUUCCGCAAUGGACGAAAGUCUGACGGAGCAACGCCGCGUGAGCGAAGAAGGUCUUCGGAUCGUAAAGCUCUGUUGUCAGGGAAGAACAAGUACCGUUCGAACAGGGCGGUACCUUGACGGUACCUGACCAGAAAGCCACGGCUAACUAC